rnacentral:rRNA from 1 species
GGCUCAGGACGAACGCUGGCGGCGUGCUUAACACAUGCAAGUCGAACGAUGAAGCCCUUCGGGGUGGAUUAGUGGCGAACGGGUGAGUAACACGUGGGCAAUCUGCCCUUCACUCUGGGACAAGCCCUGGAAACGGGGUCUAAUACCGGAUAACACCUGCCCGGGCAUCCGGGUGGGUUAAAAGCUCCGGCGGUGAAGGAUGAGCCCGCGGCCUAUCAGCUUGUUGGUGAGGUAGUGGCUCACCAAGGCGACGACGGGUAGCCGGCCUGAGAGGGCGACCGGCCACACUGGGACUGAGACACGGCCCAGACUCCUACGGGAGGCAGCAGUGGGGAAUAUUGCACAAUGGGCGAAAGCCUGAUGCAGCGACGCCGCGUGAGGGAUGACGGCCUUCGGGUUGUAAACCUCUUUCAGCAGGGAAGAAGCGAAAGU